AACGAACGCUGGCGGCGUGCCUAACACAUGCAAGUCGAGCGAUCUUCUUCGGAAGAGAGCGGCGGACGGGUGAGUAACGCGUGGGUAACCUGCCCUGUACACACGGAUAACAUACCGAAAGGUAUGCUAAUACGAGAUAAUAUGCUUUUAUCGCAUGAUAGAAGUAUCAAAGCUUUUGCGGUACAGGAUGGACCCGCGUCUGAUUAGCUAGUUGGUAAGGUAACGGCUUACCAAGGCGACGAUCAGUAGCCGACCUGAGAGGGUGAUCGGCCACAUUGGAACUGAGACACGGUCCAAACUCCUACGGGAGGCAGCAGUGGGGAAUAUUGCACAAUGGGCGAAAGCCUGAUGCAGCAACGCCGCGUGAGCGAUGAAGGCCUUCGGGUCGUAAAGCUCUGUCCUCAAGGAAGAUAAUGACGGUACUUGAGGAGGAAGCCCCGGCUAACUACGUGCCAGCCGCCGCCGUAA
rnacentral:rRNA from 1 species